GGGACACAAUACAGUAGAUUGAGGCACAUCUGAACAACACAAACAAUAACAAAUAAAAGAAAGACUGCAGAUAAAAAUGUGCCUCUGAAUCACAGAGUAACAAGGCUACUAAAGUUAGUGUCAGGCAGACAUGCAAUAUCUACAGUUCCAUUGUAUUAAAUAUGAAGCCUGUGCAGCCAGCUAGUUUGCAUAGUACUCAUUACGCAACAUUUAAUAACAAAGAACCCUAAAUACUGAAGAAUAUGUUUGCCCACAGAGCAUGGGUAAAUACAUAUGCUAUUUUUGUUGUGUGAUCAAGCUAAUAAACACCAAUUAUAUUUUUCACAGCUUGUUCUGUAUUUACAUAGUGUGCCAAUUGUUGUAAAGGGUGCUGUCCUGGAUGCAAUCACACAAUCCAUUCCUUUAAAUUACACACAUCUUGCUGAUAGUAGUCUUACCACCACAGUUCCAUUUUCCUCACUUCAUUAAAAGAAAACCGGCGUCAUUAUCUAUUAACUAUGGACCAUUUGGUCUUCCAUGUUAUCGCCAGGCUAGACAUUUUUUGACCAAAUGAGGAUCCAGGGGUCAUCAGUGGUCUCCUGACCGAAGAGAGAUGCCAACAAGCAGGCACCACCAACAAAGACGUAGGACUACCAUUCAAUGCUCAGGCCCCAGUAGCUCUGAGCAUCGACUCACAUUUUACCACUGUGACUGCGGCAGAUCCCGAGCCCAAGCCCACCAAAGAUUACGCUGGAGGCCACUUGGAAGUAAGUUAGAAAGCUACCUAACAUUAAAAUAAAUGAAGUGCCUACUCACUGCAAAUCCAUGCAUCCAAGCCCAAAUUAAAUGUUUUAUGUAGGUUAUUACACAAAGAUUAGGCAAUGUUAGCAUCAACCUCUGAGCUCUGGCAUGUUAAAGUUGUAAAUAUGAUGUUAUGCUAUCUAGCUCAGUGUGUUACAGUACUGUAUUACUUGGCUAGGCUAGCCCUUUCUACUAUUGAGGCUGUGGUACAUUUACAAAAAUGUUGCCCUUUUUCAGCCAACAUUGCAUUACAUUUAGUAACUUUUUAUGUUUGGUUAAUUUGAUUUUGUAGAAAAAUAGGCGAAAUGGAGGGCGCCAUCAAAGACAUUAGAGAAUCCAUCAACAAGAUAAAAUCGAAGAUGCAUGUCAAUAAAUGGAAGCAUGCAACUGCCGCUGGAGCUGUGCAUCGGUAAGGCAAGUCGUCAGAAACCUUGGAGAGCUCCAGUGGAGAGUGGGUCCAGGUGACUGGUACUGGGUGAUAACCGAGGGAAAGGAUCCCAUGUCCAGCCAAACCAGAGUGAGAGGGAGAACUAAAGAACCACCAAGCCAACCUUCCCACAAGAGGUAUUUGUCUGUGGGAGACGAAAUUGAGACAUAGACCCAAUAUUAAUGGAUAAUUCGUUUUGAAAUGAAUGAGUUUGUCAGGAUGGUUGAAUGUUUUCAGACAAUUAUAGUUUAUGUUUACAAGUGUAAGUCUAAUGUUGAUAUUUCCUUUGCUGUUCAAAUAAAUAAAUAUCGAACCAAUGAUCACAGUCAACCGUUUUUUUCAUUCAAAGAUCACUUCAGGUGCAUGCAUAUGGUUAUUUUUUGUGGAUUGUUUUAUUAAUCUCAAUUAAUUAAAUGUUUUAUUCCCUCGUUCAAAUUAUAGUCAAUUAUUAUGUAGGCUAUGGACAAGACAUGACAUAUGCUAUUUCCUUAGCAGCAUACUCUCCAAAUAUAAUACAUUCCUUUAAUAUUAGUUAUAGGGAAACCUGAUUCUUCAAGUAGAUGACAUGAUCCGAAUCCGGUCAUAGGCUGUAAAUUUUCCUAAUGUCAUACCGUACAUGCAUUGGGUAUAUCUUAUCCCCAGAUAGAGUGGAAGAAGAAUGUUUUUUUACCUUCCGAAUUCAAGAUUUUACUGUACAUUAGGGACAUUUUAGCCCAUAUCGACAAGAGUGCUUAAUAUGAAAAUACAGAUUCUGAAAUGUGCCAUGAUAAGAAAUCAAUAACAGUCAUGUUAAAUCCAUAUUUUGUGGUCUCUUUUUUCAAAUUUGGGAAUGUGAAACAUUUUAUAUGUACAAAUUUUCAGGGUUUUGGGGAUUAGAUAUUCAAUGAAUAGGAUGGCAGGUUCACGUGCUUGAGGUAGUCUGAUAUGUCCAGGAGUAAUCACCGUGUCAAGGGAACAUAAUGAUUCAGAAUUUCAUACAAGCUUAUGUGGUGCCAAAAAGGAUUUCGGAUUUUCUCAUGACAUGAAGUAAAUGACAGUUGUGGUUGGAGCU
ensembl:lncRNA